GAUCGAGUUGGUCUGGGUGUUGGCGAGCCAGAUCUCGUUUCGAACGGGAUGCAGCGCCAUGCCGGCAGGUCCGCCGCCCGCUUCGAUCG
rnacentral:tRNA from 1 species